rnacentral:rRNA from 1 species
UUAAGCGACUAAGCGUACACGGUGGAUGCCCUGGCAGUCAGAGGCGAUGAAGGACGUGCUAAUCUGCGAUAAGCGUCGGUAAGGUGAUAUGAACCGUUAUAACCGGCGAUUUCCGAAUGGGGAAACCCAGUGUGAUUCGUCACACUAUCAUUAACUGAAUCCAUAGGUUAAUGAGGCGAACCGGGGGAACUGAAACAUCUAAGUACCCCGAGGAAAAGAAAUCAACCGAGAUUCCCCCAGUAGCGGCGAGCGAACGGGGAGCAGCCCAGAGCCUGAAUCAGUGUGUGUGUUAGUGGAAGCGUCUGGAAAGGCGCGCGAUACAGGGUGACAGCCCCGUACACAAAAAUGCACAUAUUGUGAGCUCGAUGAGUAGGGCGGGACACGUGGUAUCCUGUCUGAAUAUGGGGGGACCAUCCUCCAAGGCUAAAUACUCCUGACUGACCGAUAGUGAACCAGUACCGUGAGGGAAAGGCGAAAAGAACCCCGGCGAGGGGAGUGAAAAAGAACCUGAAACCGUGUACGUACAAGCAGUGGGAGCCUCUUUUAUGGGGUGACUGCGUACCUUUUGUAUAAUGGGUCAGCGACUUAUAUUCUGUAGCAAGGUUAACCGAAUAGGGGAGCCGAAGGGAAACCGAGUCUUAACUGGGCGUUAAGUUGCAGGGUAUAGACCCGAAACCCGGUGAUCUAGCCAUGGGCAGGUUGAAGGUUGGGUAACACUAACUGGAGGACCGAACCGACUAAUGUUGAAAAAUUAGCGGAUGACUUGUGGCUGGGGGUGAAAGGCCAAUCAAACCGGGAGAUAGCUGGUUCUCCCCGAAAGCUAUUUAGGUAGCGCCUCGUGAAUUCAUCUCCGGGGGUAGAGCACUGUUUCGGCAAGGGGGUCAUCCCGACUUACCAACCCGAUGCAAACUGCGAAUACCGGAGAAUGUUAUCACGGGAGACACACGGCGGGUGCUAACGUCCGUCGUGAAGAGGGAAACAACCCAGACCGCCAGCUAAGGUCCCAAAGUCAUGGUUAAGUGGGAAACGAUGUGGGAAGGCCCAGACAGCCAGGAUGUUGGCUUAGAAGCAGCCAUCAUUUAAAGAAAGCGUAAUAGCUCACUGGUCGAGUCGGCCUGCGCGGAAGAUGUAACGGGGCUAAACCAUGCACCGAAGCUGCGGCAGCGACGCUUAUGCGUUGUUGGGUAGGGGAGCGUUCUGUAAGCCUGCGAAGGUGUGCUGUGAGGCUUGCUGGAGGUAUCAGAAGUGCGAAUGCUGACAUAAGUAACGAUAAAGCGGGUGAAAAGCCCGCUCGCCGGAAGACCAAGGGUUCCUGUCCAACGUUAAUCGGGGCAGGGUGAGUCGACCCCUAAGGCGAGGCCGAAAGGCGUAGUCGAUGGGAAACAGGUUAAUAUUCCUGUACUUGGUGUUACUGCGAAGGGGGGACGGAGAAGGCUAUGUUGGCCGGGCGACGGUUGUCCCGGUUUAAGCGUGUAGGCUGGUUUUCCAGGCAAAUCCGGAAAAUCAAGGCUGAGGCGUGAUGACGAGGCACUACGGUGCUGAAGCAACAAAUGCCCUGCUUCCAGGAAAAGCCUCUAAGCAUCAGGUAACAUCAAAUCGUACCCCAAACCGACACAGGUGGUCAGGUAGAGAAUACCAAGGCGCUUGAGAGAACUCGGGUGAAGGAACUAGGCAAAAUGGUGCCGUAACUUCGGGAGAAGGCACGCUGAUAUGUAGGUGAAGCGACUUGCUCGUGGAGCUGAAAUCAGUCGAAGAUACCAGCUGGCUGCAACUGUUUAUUAAAAACACAGCACUGUGCAAACACGAAAGUGGACGUAUACGGUGUGACGCCUGCCCGGUGCCGGAAGGUUAAUUGAUGGGGUCAGCGCAAGCGAAGCUCUUGAUCGAAGCCCCGGUAAACGGCGGCCGUAACUAUAACGGUCCUAAGGUAGCGAAAUUCCUUGUCGGGUAAGUUCCGACCUGCACGAAUGGCGUAAUGAUGGCCAGGCUGUCUCCACCCGAGACUCAGUGAAAUUGAACUCGCUGUGAAGAUGCAGUGUACCCGCGGCAAGACGGAAAGACCCCGUGAACCUUUACUAUAGCUUGACACUGAACAUUGAGCCUUGAUGUGUAGGAUAGGUGGGAGGCUUUGAAGUGUGGACGCCAGUCUGCAUGGAGCCGACCUUGAAAUACCACCCUUUAAUGUUUGAUGUUCUAACGUUGACCCCUAAUCGGGGUUGCGGACAGUGUCUGGUGGGUAGUUUGACUGGGGCGGUCUCCUCCUAAAGAGUAACGGAGGAGCACGAAGGUUGGCUAAUCCUGGUCGGACAUCAGGAGGUUAGUGCAAUGGCAUAAGCCAGCUUGACUGCGAGCGUGACGGCGCGAGCAGGUGCGAAAGCAGGUCAUAGUGAUCCGGUGGUUCUGAAUGGAAGGGCCAUCGCUCAACGGAUAAAAGGUACUCCGGGGAUAACAGGCUGAUACCGCCCAAGAGUUCAUAUCGACGGCGGUGUUUGGCACCUCGAUGUCGGCUCAUCACAUCCUGGGGCUGAAGUAGGUCCCAAGGGUAUGGCUGUUCGCCAUUUAAAGUGGUACGCGAGCUGGGUUUAGAACGUCGUGAGACAGUUCGGUCCCUAUCUGCCGUGGGCGCUGGAGAACUGAGGGGGGCUGCUCCUAGUACGAGAGGACCGGAGUGGACGCAUCACUGGUGUUCGGGUUGUCAUGCCAAUGGCACUGCCCGGUAGCUAAAUGCGGAAGAGAUAAGUGCUGAAAGCAUCUAAGCACGAAACUUGCCCCGAGAUGAGUUCUCCCUGACUCCUUGAGAGUCCUGAAGGAACGUUGAAGACGACGACGUUGAUAGGCCGGGUGUGUAAGCGCAGCGAUGCGUUGAGCUAACCGGUACUAAUGAACCGUGAGGCUUAACCUU